rnacentral:rRNA from 1 species
AACGAACGCUGGCGGCAGGCUUAACACAUGCAAGUCGAGCGCCCCGCAAGGGGAGCGGCAGACGGGUGAGUAACGCGUGGGAACGUGCCCUUUGGUUCGGAACAACUCCGGGAAACUGGAGCUAAUACCGGAUAAGCACUUCGGGGGAAAGAUUUAUCGCCAAAGGAUCGGCCCGCGUCUGAUUAGCUAGUUGGUGAGGUUAUGGCUCACCAAGGCGACGAUCAGUAGCUGGUCUGAGCAGUUGAUCAGGCACACUGGGACUGAGACACGGCCCAGGCUCCUACGGGAGGCAGCAGUGGGGAAGAUUGGACAAUGGGCGCAAGCCUGAUCCAGCCAUGCCGCGUGAGUGAUGAAGGCCUUAGGGUUGCAAAGCUCUUUUGUCCGGGAAGAUAAUGACUGUACCGGAAGAAUAAGCCCCGGCUAACUUCGUGCCAGCCGCCGCGGUAA